CCUGUGCCUGACAGGCGCUGGGCCCAAUGGGAGCCUUUGCCGUCCCGCUUCCGUGCCGACUCGACCCGCGGAUUGGCUAAGCUGGGGCGGGCCGCGGGGGCGAGACCCCUCCUUCCAGAGAGGUCUAGGGGGCGCCCCUGAGGGAGGGCGGUUGCCUAGCAACGGGGCGGUGGCUCGGCGGGUACCCGGCCUAGGGGAGCGCGAGCAGUAAGCGAGGCCUCAGCCCACCCACCCGGGGCUCCGGCGCGGAGCGGCCUCCGGCCCUCGAGCCCUGCAGGGGGCUCCAGAAGGCCGCCUUGGGCUCGGCCUCAGGAAAAACGAGGUCUCCACUGUGGGAGCCCCGACCCUUCUUCCUGGCCGGUGGCGGGGCUCAGUGCCUCUCUCUCACCCCGUCUUUGUGCGUGGGGUGCCGGCGGCCAUUGUGUCCGGGCGCGGAAUGGAGGACCUGGCCGUCCCCCAGUGCUGUGUCCAGGGCCUUUGGGGAAUUCAAAGACAACUAGCGGUGUUUGUGGGGGGUCUCCAGCAUACGCCUCUCGGAAAAACCCGGGAGUGGUCUUUCCGAAAUCAGAUCACAGAUCCGAGGCUGUCUUCCCCCUGUCCGCGUCCCUGCGCGAAACCUUGAGAUUCACUUGGAAGUCCCUUUAGGGUUUCGGAAGCCUCAUCUAGGGCUGGUACUUAAAUAGAAAGAAAGAAAGGAGGGGUGGGGGGAAAUUACACUAAACCCAUACCUCCGGGAGAGUUCUCCUGACUCCCAGUAGGAGGCGGAGAGCCAAGGGGCGUGCUAGAGCGAGGGGGUUGGGCUCCCGGGUGGCUGGAGCCUGCGGAGCAGAGAGAGGCCGCCCUCGAUCUGGUCGAUGGAGGAACCAGGUUGUGAGGGGGCAGGUUCCUAAGCUUCGCAAUUCCUCUGUCGCCUUCUGAGCUGCCUACCAGGUCGCAUGAUCCCUCCGGCCGGGGCUGGUUUUUUUUUUUUUUUUUUUUUUUUGCUGAGUUACCGGCGACCCAGCCACCACCUCCUCCCCGACCUAUGAUACAAAAGACCUUCCGGGGGUUGUACCUGCUUGCUGUCGCCGGAGAUAGAUUUGAAUAACCUUAUCUUGGCUUUGGAUCCUGGAAGAGAAUCGCUAAACACAGAGCAGACCCAGUAAGUGAGCAGGUGUUUUGGACAAUGGACUGGUUGAGCCCAUCUCUAUUAUAAAAAUGUCUCAGAGCAACCGGGAGCUGGUGGUCGACUUUCUCUCCUACAAGCUUUCCCAGAAAGGAUACAGCUGGAGUCAGUUUAGUGAUGUCGAAGAGAAUAGGACUGAGGCCCCAGAAGAAACUGAAGCAGAGAGGGAGACCCCCAGUGCCAUCAAUGGCAACCCAUCCUGGCACCUGGCGGAUAGCCCGGCCGUGAAUGGAGCCACUGGCCACAGCAGCAGUUUGGAUGCGCGGGAGGUGAUUCCCAUGGCAGCAGUGAAGCAAGCGCUGAGAGAGGCAGGCGAUGAGUUUGAACUGCGGUACCGGAGAGCGUUCAGUGAUCUAACAUCCCAGCUUCACAUAACCCCAGGGACCGCGUAUCAGAGCUUUGAGCAGGUAGUGAAUGAACUCUUUCGGGAUGGAGUAAACUGGGGUCGCAUCGUGGCCUUUUUCUCCUUUGGCGGGGCACUGUGCGUGGAAAGCGUAGACAAGGAGAUGCAGGUAUUGGUGAGUCGGAUUGCAAGUUGGAUGGCCACCUAUCUGAAUGACCACCUAGAGCCUUGGAUCCAGGAGAACGGCGGCUGGGUAAGAACCACGCCCCUUGUGUGUCCGCCCCUUGCUUGUGUCUCUCUUCUCUGUGAACAUCCCUAAAACUGCCCUUUUUGGUCUCUUUCUGUUAUAUGGCAUGGUUGUUAAAGAUACCGAUUGUUCAGGAGACCUUCCUGGCUUCAUUUUAAUACAAGAGGUUAACUUUGGAAAUAUAGAUGACCCAAUUUUUAAGGGACCUGUAUCUUUCAUCCUGGCUACCCUUGUGGCCCCACAGUUUCAUAGUUUUGUUCCAAUUUCUCAGCAAAGAAAAACAGCCUAUGUGUUUACUUGGCUUAAAACCUAUGAGAGCAGCAAGUUCUCCCCGCGUUCUGCUCACUCUCAUGAAAUGGGUCACCUUGGCUGGGGUGAUGAACAUAAUACCCAGGAAACUGCAGAACUGGAACCUCAGGCUGCUGUGUACUUGCAUGCAUGGUACUCAGACCAUUUGGCCAGUCAGGAGCCCCCACUGGCUAGAGUGGCUGAGUAUUGUCUGAUUUUAGAGGAGGGUGGUCUGGGCCAAUGGUGUUUGUGCUGUGCUCCUAAGUUCUUUUUCCCCAAAGUGUGCAACUUUCUGCAUGGUUGGCUUGUUUGUAGAGCCCUUCCUGUGCCAUAUCAAGCCCCAGGACUUUGCACCUCGCUGCCCUGGAUUGGUUGGGGAUCUCCAGCUGCUCUGCCCAGUGUUUUUCUGGUCAGGGCCCUGGGGCCUCUUUACUGAAGCACUGUUUGCUGGCAGAGCAAGAACCUGGUUUGUGAGGCUCCAUAGGAAAUUAAGAUUUGGUGACAGACUGUAUGUGGGUGUGAGUCCUGGCCCUGUCACUUAACUGGCCAUGUGACCUUGGACAGGCUGGUUUACCUUCUAGAGCCUUAGUUUCUAACAGACUAUUGUGACCCAAAGAUAAAGAGAGCAGAGGCUGACACAAUGAGUGCUUUUUCUUCAGAAUCCUGCUCGCCACCUCAUCAGUCAGGGUGAGAUAGAGGACACUUUUGUGGAUCUCUACGGGAACAAUGCAGCAGCCGAGAGCCGGAAAGGCCAGGAGCGCUUCAACCGCUGGUUCCUGACGGGCAUGACUGUGGCUGGUGUGGUUCUGCUGGGCUCACUCUUCAGUCGGAAGUGACCAGACACUGACCGUCCACUCACCUCUCACCUCCCACCCUGCCCCCACCACAACUCUCUCUUCAGCCACCAUUGCUACCAGGAGAACCACUACAUGCAACUCACGCCCCUUGCCCUAUCACAGGGUUGGGCCUAGACGGAGUCCCCUGCAAUUAGCUUUCUAGGAUCUACCACACUUCUGUGAAAGCCACCUUCCCCCCACAUCUCAGUUCUCUUGGCCUCAAAACUCACAAGGUUUUCCCCUAAACCAGCUCCUUGGAGGCUGGCAGGAGCAGAGAGGGGUGUGUGAGGGAGGAGAGCCUGUCUUGUUGGUGGGACCCUAAUUACCCCUGAGCCUCUCGGGAAUGCUUUUCCAGCAGGGAGCUCUUCCCCUGAAGGAGACUAGCUUGCCUUGGUUUUGAUGUGUGUGGCCUCAGACGUGAUCAUUUCCCAUCCCGCUGUGUCUCUGGGUCUCCCUCCUCCCCAUCUCCACCCCCCAAGAGCCAUUGAGUGAGGUGCUUUUAGCCCUUUUGACUAAUUAGAAAUUCAGGCUGCUUGGGAUAAUGAGACAAGGACCAGAACCUCCUCCCCACCUGUGGCCUGGCCAAAACCCCCACUUGUGGUCUGAAUGUUCUCCUGAGGCCUCUGGCUAGAGUCUAGCCCCACCCAGGGGGAGGGGCUUAGCUGCUGAAAGUCCACCUUGCUAGAGCUAGGGUGGCUCUUGCAGCUUAGCACCCCCCAAGAUCCUUGUCCACCCCUCCCCUGGCUCCCAUGACCAUGACUGAGGGACCAAUGGGCCCAAGAUAGGUGCCCCAGAGCUGUUAAUGACUUCAGCUGCCUCACUUCCUGCAAGAUUGGCCUGUGGCAUCUUUGCCUUGGGUGUUGGCCACAGGGUCAAGGGACUCUGGCCUCAGCCCAGAAGUGAGGGGAAGCUAUACAGAGCAGCUGUGGGAACCCCAGGGGCUUCCCUACCUCAGGCAGGAAGGGCAGGAAGAAGAGCCUGGAGCCCAGGCGAGGGGGACGGCAAGGGCCUGUCUUUGUGCUCUGCCCCACCUAGCCUGGGCAGCAGGGCUGCCAAGGUCAGAAUGGCCUGGCUAGGAGCCCUUCAGGCCUCUCUCUCCUCUGUCCACCCUUGGCCUGUCUCAUCCCUGUGGGUCCCAGCUCAGCUCUGGCCACCCCGGGCUCUCUGCUGUACAUAUUCGAGACUAGUUUUUAUUCCUUGUGAAGAUGAUAUACUAUUUUUGUUAAGCGUGUCUGUAUUUAUGUGUGAGGAGCUGCUGGCUUGCUGUGCGCGUGCCCGUGGAGAGCUGGUGCCCAGAGACUGACAGCCUGAUGCUCCCUCCCUGCCCUUGCCUGGGGAAGCCCACCAGGGGUUCUGGCUUCUGAGGGGCACCUGUCCCUCCUCUCCCCUCACCCUACACUUGUUCCAGCUCUUUGAAAUAGUUUGUGUGAAGGUGAAAGUGCAGUUCAGUAAUAAAUGGUGUCUGUGACUCUGUGAA